ACGCUCGACACCUACGGGAUGCAGCAGUGGGGAAUAUUGCACAAUGGGGGAAACCCUGAUGCAGCGACGCCGCGUGAAGGAAGAAGUAUCUCGGUAUGUAAACUUCUAUCAGCAGGGAAGAAAAUGACGGUACCUGACUAAGAAGCCCCGGCUAACUACGUGCCAGANCGCGGAGUAUGNGNGGCGNGCGAGAG
rnacentral:rRNA from 1 species